rnacentral:piRNA from 1 species
UGGUGUCUGUUCACAGCAGUAAAACCCUAA